rnacentral:rRNA from 1 species
UGGUUAAUAGCAUACUCAUUUGACGUUAGCUGCAGAAGAAGCACCGGCUAACUCCGUGCCAGCAGCCGCGGUAAUACGGAGGGUGCGAGCGUUAAUCGGAAUUACUGGGCGUAAAGCGCAUGCAGGUGGUUUGUUAAGUCAGAUGUGAAAGCCCGGGGCUCAACCUCGGAAUUGCAUUUGAAACUGGCAAACUAGAGUACUGUAGAGGGGGUAGAAGUUUCAGGUGUAGCGGUGAAAUGCGUAGAGAUCUGAAGGAAUACCGGUGGCGAAGGCGGCCCCCUGGACCAGAUACUGACACUCAGAUGCGAAAGCGUGGGGAGCAAACAGGAUUAGAUACCCUGGUAG